AGCAGCCGCGGUAAUUCCAGCUCCAAUAGCGUAUAUUAAAGUUGUUGCAGUUAAAAAGCUCGUAGUUGAAUUUCGGGAUCAAGUCGUCGGUCGUGCCUCGGUACGCACUGGUGACAUUGGUUUCUCCCUUCUGAAGAACCUUGAUGUCAUUAAUUUGGUGUCUUGGGGAAUCAGGACUGUUACUUUGAAAAAAUUAGAGUGUUUAAAGCAGGCUCACGCUUGAAUACAUUAGCAUGGAAUAAUGAAAUAGGACGUUUGACUCUAUUUUGUUGGUUUCUAGGAUCGACGUAAUGAUUAAUAGGGAUAGUUGGGGGCAUUAGUAUUCAAUUGUCAGAGGUGAAAUUCUUGGAUUUAUUGAAGACUAACUACUGCGAAAGCAUUUGCCAAGGAUGUUUUCAUUAAUCAAGAACGAAAGUUAGGGGAUCGAAGACGAUCAGAUACCGUCGUAGUCUUAACCAUAAACUAUGCCGACUAGGGAUCGGAUGAUGUUAAUUUUUUAAUGACUCAUUCGGCGCCUUAC
rnacentral:rRNA from 1 species